rnacentral:lncRNA from 1 species
CGGGCACAAUUUUAAGUAUCGGCAACGGUGAUUUUUUUUUUUUUUUUUUGUCGAAAUUAGUCUAUGGAAAAAAAAAUGCUUCCCAUUAUCAGAGUAUAUUUUUUUAACAAUAGAUAAGAUGUUGGAGUCCAUUAUACAAACAAUAAAUUGAUGGGCUAGUAAAUUAGUAAUAGGGCCUACUGUUUUUUUUUUCAAAAAGCCUAAUUAAAGAGAAGGCCCAAAAUCUAAAAAUUAAAAAAUUGGCCCAACUAAACUCUUCUUCCUCCUCCCUUCUUCUUCCCUGUCGCCGAGUUAAUUUCUUCCUCCUGCUAGUUGUAACUUUCUUCCUCCUGCCCUUCUUCCCUGUUGGCGCCACUGCCUACAGACAGCAAACACACUUUCUUCUUCUUCCUUCCCUUUUGCUUUUUCUUCUUUUUCUUCUUCUUCUCUUCUUCUUGGAGUUUCCUGUGUCAAGUCCAAAGUCCAGUGCGGGCAUCGGCCUGCACUGGACUCCAUGUAGCUCCGCCCCUGAUAACAAAUAAACUUGUGUCAAAAGUUUUAUAAUAAUAUUUUCACCAGAAAUCACUGAGGGCCAGAUUAUGAGUUUUUUUUUUUUUUCCACCUGUUUUGGGUGACAUCGUUUAUGAGGGGUUGAAAAAAUUGAUACUUAAUUGUAGUGUAAUUUUGACUGAUUUUUCAACCUACAAA